UCCUCUGCAUAGUCGGCAGAGCAUGAGACUCUGAAUCUCAAGGUCAUGGGUUGGAGCUCCAUGUUGGGCAAAA